rnacentral:rRNA from 1 species
UACGUAGGUGGCAAGCGUUGCCCGGAUUUACUGGGCGUAAAGGGAGCGUAGGUGGAUAUUUAAGUGGGAUGUGAAAUCCCCAGGCUUAACCUGGGGGCUGCAUUCCAAACUGGAUGUCUAGAGUGCAGGAGAGGAGAGUGGAAUUCCUAGUGUAGCGGUGAAAUGCGUAGAGAUUAGGAAGAACACCAGUGGCGAAGGCGACUCUCUGGACUGUAACUGACACUGAGGCUCGAAAGCGUGGGGAGCAAACAGG